AGCUGCACUUUAACUGUAGAAGAGCCACAUGUGGCUUGGGAGCUGCAGUUUGGCCACCCCUGUUAUAAUAGCUAUGAUCAGGGUUAGAUGACGCAGCAAAAACACUUGUGCCCUGGCUACAAUACAGCUUUCACUCUCACUGCCAUUGCAGAAUCAUGCUGACACGCUUUCCCAGUGUAGGCAAGAGGGCAGUUUACAAUCUAUCUGGUUGCUGUACCCAGCCAAGGCAAACGUACCAUGAAGCAAGAAUGAAUACAGCACAGAAGACUUCAAAGACACUGAACUCACACUGACAUUAAUGGGAGCUAGACACAGAAACGGGAAGAAUUCAGAACCUGAAUACAGCUAUGCCUGCAGAAUAUAGGAUCCUCCUGGGUCACAUUUUCAAACUUCUCUCCAUAACCAUGAAGUCAGAAACCUCUUCUUUUUUUUAACUGAAAGCUGAUAUUCUCACACGAUCACCUGACUCCAGGAGCAGGGGCUAUAAGAAGAACACCGCCAAAUAUCGUGGGAGUUGGCAAUAACUGUAACUUACAAGUUCUUUACUUUUGACAAAUUGCUUAUUUCUUGUUUGUUUAAUGUCUGUGUCUGGCCUGUCUUUAGAAUGCUAGCUCUUUAGGGCAGAGACUGUCUUUUCCUCUGUGUACACACCAGAGGGUUUUAUUUUGGUGGAGGGCCCCAGGUUCUUCUGUGAUUUAAUUACCACCACCUCCCUCACACAGACACAAUCAUUACAGCAGCGCUGAACCUGUGUGUGCAGUGAUAUUAGUGUUAACUCUGCUUCCGCUGCAAUGAUUAAGCAAUGCUGAGGGGUCUCAUGACUGAAGUCUCAUUGCUACUAAACCAUGCAUCAUUCAUUCCCUUUUACAGCCCAAGUAGAGCUUGUGUUUGAGGCAGAGCACAGACUGUGGUUGAAAUGGAAAAACAGAGGUUUAAAAGGCACCAGCAGAUACUGCUCUGUCAUUAGCCACUGCUGCUAGACUGACAGGUGAAGAGGCAGGUUAAUGAUCAAUUCUGGACUGAUGGAUCUAAGGGCAGCAGGUUUCAGAUUACCACACACUGGUUUUAAAUUACAUUCUGCCUGCUGAAGAUUCCCUCUGCAGUUUCCAUUAAAUGUGGGAUUCUUCUUUCCUUCCCAUCUCAAGCAGCUGUGAAGUGUUGCUCUGCGCUGGUAAACAGAUGCAGGCAUUUGCAUCUCAGAAGUGGCUGAUCCACACGUCCCAUAAUUUACCACGGGGGUGUUGUGAGGCUAGUUAUUAUUUGUGAAGCAUUCUGAAUUCCCUGUGUUAUAGAUACCAAAGAAGUGAAAAUCUACAUUAUUAAAUGGAUUUUUUAAAAACUGGAACUGCUAUUUUUCUCUUUACAAUGGAAUUUCUCAAGUGUUUGGGGGACUUUUUACUACACAAAGCUGCUGUUAAAAUACUGUUGGAGGUGUGAUUUUACAUUAGUUUAAUCUGUUACUGUUUUCAACAGUGAAGAAGCAAUACACAUUGCAAUAAAAUCAAAGGGAUAUGUAGUAGGCAUAAGAUCACACUGUGUGUAUGCUGUAUUGUCCCUGUAUUUUUAGUUUAUACUUGGUUACCAAGCUCCAGACAUUUUUCAGCAACAGCAGACUCUGUAAACAGGCUGAACUUGCAAAGUCCAUUUUGAUCUUCUAUUCUGACUACUAUGACUUGGUCAGCAUCUCACACAUGUAUAAAAGAACCUUGCUUCUACAGAUUCUGAACGAGCCAGAGGAGAGCGGCAAAACUAAAUGGGGGUAGGAAAAAAGUUUAGACUUGCCCUGAGCAAUUGUCCUCAGACCCAACAAAACCUCAGACCAAGAGAAAAUGAUCAACUGCACAGGAGGUAAAACAUGAAAUUUUUUUAGACUUAGUAUAAUCCCCACCUCACCCUUGUGGAUUUCAAGAAUGGGGCUUAUUGCUACACCAAUAAGUAGCUCUGGAUACCUAAUGUUACUUCAGACACUGCCAAUUUUGAUCACAGCUUCUAUGCUGUGUUCCGACCUAGGCUGCUCUGGGGGCUGGAAUGAAACCAGAGUAGUCUGAAGGUUUUAUUAAAAUAUACCCCCUGAUGAUCCAGGAUCUGGAAACUACAGCUGCACCUUCCAACUGCCAGAAGCCAUGGUCUCAAGUGCAACAGCCUUAAAUCUCCAAGUUAAAUCAAAUUGUUUUCAGUAAAACUUAAUUUAAGGAGUUUUCCACUCUGAGCUGUGCAUUUCAAAGCAACUGUUCGCAGCAAUACCAAUCCAGUACCCAGCAUUUGUAGAGUGGGGAUAAUACACUGCACUUCUUACUUGCUUUGCUACAUAUACAAUAUGAAUACACAGGAAUACGGAAAGCAUACAGCUCAGUAAUUAAGAGUCUGGUGCCUUUGAGUCAGCUCCAUGACUCAGGUAGCAGUUUAUUGCAAAACCACACAUGGGCCUCAGGCAGAGUACAGCCAAGAAUUUCAUUUCUGUAAGUCUCAAUUGCUGCCCCCACCUCUCUCAACCUCACCACUCAGCUGGUUUCACAUUACGGCUAUUUCGGCCUUCAAUAUACCGCCUUCCUCUCCUGCCCCGCUUUUCGUAGCCUCUCCGAGACUCUCCUAUGCUUCGUAAAGUUAAAGUUAGCAAAUCUGUUUGGAAAACGCCAAACCCCUGUUUUCAGCACAAUGAAGAGGUGCUCCAAACUGCAAGAUUUGGCAUUAAUGGGUGAAAGGUUGGUUUUAUUCUCUUGGCCUCUUUCCACGCUGCCUUGGCUAUACUAGCUAUAUUUGCAUGUAAACUGAAAAACAUAGGUUCUUUAGACAACUUUUGGGUGUGGGGGCAGUUUAGACAGGAGUCUUGUGUAGAGUUUGUAACAUACAUGUUUCAUGAGCUUUAGGCGCAUGGCUAAGUUUGUUCUGUUGUUGUUUUAAAACAUACAUAAAGGCAAUAUACUUGAUUAACUGCACGGGAUCCUGGAACCAGGAUUAUUGCUCUAGGAGCCAUUUUGAAACAGAUAAUUUAGAAAGGUUUAACACUGGCCCUACUGUACCAAAACUAUACAUUUGAAAACAAUGUUUGCAAGUAAUAUCUUCCAUACACCCUGCCAAGAAUGUUUAAGUAAGUGAACAAAACCCUCUGUGUGGUAUUCUGAGUGCUUGGUUCUGAAUCAAGGCAGAGUAAUGUCACACUGCGGGGUGGGUUGCAAAUAAGACAGUUCAAGAAUGAAACUGCUUACUUGCUCUCUUUCUGAAUACAUCAGCACUCUACAAGCAUUACAUGCUUCCAAUCAAACUCAAGGAGUAGGCUGCAAAGAGGAGGGUAGGAGGAAGUGCAUGUGAUCUGCUCAGCUUCAACAGCACCCACUGCAAUAUGAUUCAAGGAUCAGCACAGAUGUCUCCCCAGCAAAUGCACUCACUUGCUCAAGAUGAGGGAAGUUGCUCUGGUGGCAGCUAAAAAGUUUGUUGCAAUUUAAUGGACAGAGAAUAGGUGGUUUGGAAAUCGACUGGGGAAGGGGAAAAGGUAGCAAGAUCAGGGCUGAAGGGAGGAGGACAUGGACACAGAGAAAACAAACAGGAAAGGAGAGGAAAGGAAAAGAAUAGGUCUUCACUUAGGCUAUGUCUACACUGUGCACCUUACAGCGGCCACACAGCUGUGCCGUUGUAAGGUACGUAGCGUAGUUGCUCUUUGUUGGCAGGAGAGAGCCUGCUGACAAAAUAAAACCAUCCCCAAUGAGGGGGUGACAGCUUUGACAGUGGGAGAGUGUCUCCCGCAGACAAAACACUGUCCACACUGGCGUUUUUGUCGACAAAAGUUUUGUUGGUCACACCCCAACUGACUAAAGUUUUACCAACAAAGUGCAGUGUAGACAUAGCCUAAGUGCCACUCCUAAAAGACUGGAACACCUGCCUAAGUAGCUCACACCCUGCACAGGGACACAAGGGCAGGCAAACACAGAAAACACCUAUGCAACAAUACCUAAUAAUGGCUGCUACCGAUCAGCAUUGAGGCACCAACUGUAGUUCAAAGUCACCUUCAAUUUAGAAGAUAAAACAGAGAUCUGAACAAACAAUGGCUAUUGCAAAGAGUAUUCACACCUACUGCCAAACAUGUACAGUAGUUACUUUACAUAGCAAAGCUGAAAUAGAAGUAUUUGAGAAGAUACCAUCAGACACACGGUGGCAAAAAAGACAGAGCUCAAACAGUAAAUAUCACUACAAAUACAUGCAACAGGGUCACCAUUUUCUGUUUCAACUUUGAGAGAGAGAAAUGCCCCAUCAGCAGCAGGAGGAGAGAAAGACUUACCCUCAGAUUCAGUUCCCACAUAUUUAGGGCUGAAUUUCACACCAUAGCCAUGAAACACAAACAAAAACAUCCUCAAAAACACCCAGAACAAUAGGUACUGAACUCCAACAAACUGGGCUGCAUUAUGUCAAUGAACUGAGGUCAACUGUGUGACUGAUUUGGUUAACUGAGACCUUGCAAUCCUACUUCUCACAACAGCUGAAAUCAAAGUUGGAAAAAAACCCUUCCUUCUCCUCCCAUAGAGUAUUCAGAUAAGCAGAAUCCUUCCAGAGAGAAACAGUGAGAAUGGCUGAUGGAUGUUGAAUGUGCGGUGGAAGACCCAUUGUCUGAGACAUCAAAGACUUUCAGUGACUUGCUAGCCAGCAUUUGAAUGGGCAUUGCGAGAUGUGUGUGAUUAGAUAAGUGUCUAUCUCGCCACACGUGUAUAAAUUGGAGAUUUGGGGGCACUCAUCUGGGAAUGCAUAAGCUAAGUAGGCAACAUGGUACACACACACAAAUAUGUUGCUACUAAUCUACUGAAAGUCAGACCCUAAAAUGGGACAAGACUCAAACCGUGCAGCAGAGUGCAAUUCCCCAAUGGCAGAGGUGGCGGGGGAAGGAGAAUGACAAGACAACAAACCUUUUCCAUUUCAAUGUCUGAUUCUUUGAGUAAAGAAAAAACACAGCAUGUUCUUGCUAAGCAUCUUACUCGCACUGCACCAUGUACCUGAAACUCCCUGCCCCCAGCCAGUGACUGAGUCACUUCCUCUCCUUGUCUCUCAGACAGGUUGUUAGAAACUCACCCACACUUUCUCAGUAUAUGAAGGGUGUCAUUUAAAUGCACUGUUGUGAGACUGAAUUACCAUUUUGCAGCCCCUGCUCCACUUCCUGACUGACACAAGGUGGCCAUUUUGCUGUGUGUGUCAGUGCCCGUUCAGCAGCGCCCCAGCUACUCAGAUGAGACAUGACUCGGAGCGAAACUUGACAUUUCCCAUCCUCUUUGCCAAGGACCAACUCUGCAGGAGAAGGGGGAAGGUGUGUUCUGAGGAGGCGUCAGUCUCAUGACUGCAAAAGGGUGGAGUCAAAGGUUGCUGGCAGCAGGGAGGAGCUGCAAGACAGGGUAGGCAAGUGGCCUCCAACUAGCCCUGGCGGCUGCUGCUCAAUAGCAUUCUGAAGGCAGCAAGAAAAUGGGGUUAGGGAAGAAUCUUGUGUGCCGAAGCUGCUGAAAGCAGGGCCAUCAAACCCCCCUCAUCCGCUUGUCCUCUGCUCAGAUUACAGGCUGGCUGCAGAACCUAGGCAGGAUGUUGAUGGACGAGAUAGAAAGAGCCAAGCUUCCUUUUCACAUCCCAAGAGGAGUUUGGAGCACUCCAAAAAAUAGCCUUGUCUUGUAAACUGAGACAAUUACCCCUCGACACCAUUGGAAAAUUAAUGCAGAGCUUCACAAUGACAUUUUAAUAAUUGUUAUGGUCACAUUAUCCUUGAAAUAGCCUACAAUGAACUUAUGACUCCCCUUUCCCUGCAAACACAUUGUUUGGUUGAGAAUUUAAAUGUUAAAAGGCAGCAGUGAAGGUUCCAACACCAGGCUUAACUCUUUUCCCCUCAGUAGCCCUGGCCACACUGGUCAGAGACUCCUCAACUCAUUCAAGUCAGACAUAGCCUAGGACACUGGGAAUAAUCAGAUGGUCACCAAGCCAAGUACUAUCCAGAAUGCAAACUGCUUAGCUUUGAAAAUGAGUCAAGAUCACACCUUUUCAGAGCAGUAACACAAUCUGUUCUCAAGUGACCAGGGGCUGCCCUCUCUCUUUCAAUUUACUGUGACCUCUAUCACAUAUUCAUUCCAUGAUGUAUUUACUCAUCAAUAUGCCAAGAAUGCAAAAAUGACGAUUCAUACCUAGAAAUGGCAAUCAAUUUGAGUUACACUUUAACAAGAUAAACUAAGUUUUGGAAACUGUCUCUCAGGACAGGGAGUUCGGCAACAGAAGAAACUGCCAUUCAGCACAAUGAAAUUCACAGAAAUUCGACUCUAUCCCCAAGCAAACCAAACAUUAUUUAUUAACCAAUUGACAAAACUAUGCUAGCAACUUGGCUCAGACAAUCCUUGGGUACGUUUUAAAACCAGCCUUACAAACUUUUAAUCCAAACAAAAUCAGUCAAUAACUCAGUAUACUGACCAUGUGACACAGACUAUACCUUGUCAUAUCAGACUCUGACUGUUAUAUUUAACUUGGGAAAAAUAAAUGCAAAAGGCCCUAAUCACAUUGUACAGAGGUCGAGUUGUAUCCUCCUGCUUAUUAGAACCCCAGAACCUUGUGAUGUAUAAGACUAGUCCUACAGUUCAAUUACAUGUAAGGAGUUAGAGAAAAUGGAAGUGGAAAACCCCUCCUAGUACCUGUUACGGCACAAGCAGGGGCCUUGUGCAAUCUGGUCUUAAAUAACUCAGACAACAGGGCUUUCAUCCCUUUCCUUGGAGUUUAACCCACAGUCCAGUAGACGUCACUGUUAAGGAAGUUUCCCUGCUACUCCCUUUACCCAUUU